GGAGACAGAGAAAUGGCAGCUGAGAGUAGGGUUCCCGGUCAGGGGCAAUGUCUUUUCCUUGAACUCUGGUCUCGCCGACCUGCCCAGCAUCUGUACGAGGCACAAGGCACCGUGAAGGACCCUUCCUCGCUCUGAGCUGGCCCCUGAGAGGCGGGCAGGGCAGCAGCAUGGUCCCUGCCCACCCCUGGGUGUCACGUCCGCCCGGCCUCACACCAUUUGCUCCCAGGGACGGUCUCUGACGCAGCACAGCCAGCCUUCCCACCACGGUCUGUGCAGAUUGUUCUGGACUGUCAAGGUUUUGAGGGCCGACCCUGCCGUCUGUUGUUGCUGCUGCCUCUCGUCUAUGGGGGACGUUUCCUGACAGAGAGGACGCACCGCCUAUGAACCAGGAAAGGAGUUCUCGACAGACACUGAGUCUGCCGGCACCCUGAUCUUGGACUUCCAGCCUCCAGACGGUGAGCAACCAAUGUUUGUUGUGAAGCCCCCAGGUCUGUGUUAUUUUUGUUAUGGCAGCCUGAACUAAGACACAAUUUAAAUGAUUGAUUCUAACCAUCAGGUGAACGUAACUCCUGGAAAGCAUCAUACUGGGAACAACUGCCCCCUGUGAGCUGUGAGGGGCCAACCCGGCCGUCCUUCCUUCUGCAUCCACGGUGCCUCCAAAUCGUGAGCCAGAACCGCCCCUCUCGUCUUUCUCCUGCCCUGGACACGACAGCAUCUCAAAAACCGCACUUUUUCCAGUCCUUGCUGCCCGCACGGGCCU